rnacentral:rRNA from 1 species
UACGGAGGGCGCAAGCGUUUCUCGGAAUUACUGGGCGUAAAGCGCACGCAGGUGGUCCAUCAAGUCGGGUGUGAAAUCCCUGGGCUCAACCCAGGAUGUGCAUUCGAAACUGGCGGACUCGAGUACGGGAGAGGGAAGCGGAAUUCCUGGUGUAGAGGUGAAAUUCGUAGAUAUCAGGAGGAACACCGGUGGCGAAGGCGGCUUCCUGGCCCGAUACUGACGCUCAUGUGCGAAAGCGUGGGGAGCAAACAGG